rnacentral:rRNA from 1 species
UAAUCCGACCUAGGCUCAUCUGAUAGCGCAAGGCCCGAAGGUCCCCUGCUUUCUCCCGUAGGACGUAUGCGGUAUUAGCGUUCCUUUCGAAACGUUGUCCCCCACUACCAGGCAGAUUCCUAGGCAUUACUCACCCGUCCGCCGCUAAGUCAAAGUGCAAGCACCUUGACCCCGCUCGACUUGCAUGUGUUAGGCCUGCCGCCAGCGUUCAAUCUGAGCCAGGAUCAAACUCUA